rnacentral:tRNA from 1 species
GGUAUUAUAGCGCAGUGGUAGGGCGCCUGCUUAGCAUGCACGAGGUCCUGGGUUCAAUUCCCAGUACCUCCA